rnacentral:rRNA from 1 species
AUACGUAGGGUGCAAGCGUUAAUCGGAAUUACUGGGCGUAAAGCGUGCGCAGGCGGUCUUGUAAGACAGGUGUGAAAUCCCCGGGCUUAACCUGGGAACUGUACUUGUGACUGCAAGGCUGGAGUACGGCAGAGGGGGAUGGAAUUCCGCGUGUAGCAGUGAAAUGCGUAGAUAUGCGGAGGAACACCGAUGGCGAAGGCAAUCCCCUGGGCCUGUACUGACGCUCAUGCACGAAAGCGUGGGGAGCAAACAGGAUUAGAUACCCUAGUAGUCC